GUUUCUGACUACCAUGUAAAU
rnacentral:snRNA from 1 species